rfam:Schistosoma mansoni strain Puerto Rico chromosome 6, complete genome
GCACUGCUGAGGUGUGCAAUACUAGGACGAAACGGCCGUCCAGCAC